UCAUUCUAUCAAAAAAUGAUUGAUCCUCCAUUUUAUACAAGCAUACAGUAAUGUAAAAGCUUGUAAGUUGUACCGCAAGAGAUAUCAAUUCCCUGUACAUGAUAUUGAAUCCAAUUUUCUUAUUGUAUAAAUUCAAAACAUAUUACAAAAGCAAUCUAUAAAAACUAAAUCAUAUUCAGAUAAACAACAUGCAUUUAGCCCACAUAAAAUUCGGUAUUGAGGACAAUAAAAAAGAGCAGAAAAUAACAUAGGACACAUCUCUAUUUGUCCCCAGGAAAAUCUUUAGAAUUGCCAUCCAAAUAUCAAAGGUUUCCCAACAAGAAUUCUGGUAGGUACUGAAAUCGUUGCAGGCUCUACUGAUCAAAACAUGUGAGGAAUGAAUUCCAUACUCUGGUACUCCAACCUCAGGCUACUGCCAGCGCAUCUCUGGAAUAUAAACUGUAGCUACAGAUGGCAGCCGGCAAUAGAGAUGGCAGCAGCAGGGUGUAGAAAUGGCAACGAGUAAAGUACCGGCGAAGCUAAGGAUACCCGAAGCCGAUUAGAAUUUUACAUUAGAGUGUGUUUGUGCGUGUGUGUAUUAACCCAUUCCUUCAUCAAAUAAAGUAACGUAAACAUAAACAGAUUUAUAAAUUUUAACCUAUUUCUCCUAAACGCAACAAAUGUUUAACAAAUAACCCUAAAUAAACAUCAACAGAACAAUAUAUUCAAAUCCUAACCCAUUUCUUCAGUUGCAACGAAAAUGGAGAGAGGGGCGACUCAAGGGAAGAAGCUGUUGGUGAGAGGCUCUCGUCGUCAGGCGAGGAUGACUCGGCGUGGUGCAGCGUCGAUGGGGGGAAGGAAGGAGUUGGUGGACAACUGGCUGCUGCAAAUGGGACGAGAAGGAUGUUGUGUUUCGUCGUAUAGAGCAGGGGAUAUUUAGUAUUUAGAGUAAUAAAGAGUGAGUAUUAGUUAAUAAAAUUAAAAUGAUUAACA
rnacentral:lncRNA from 1 species